AUUGAACGCUGGCGGCAUGCCUUACACAUGCAAGUCGAACGGCAGCACGGGAGCAAUCCUGGUGGCGAGUGGCGAACGGGUGAGUAAUAUAUCGGAACGUGCCCAGUCGUGGGGGAUAACGCGGCGAAAGCUGCGCUAAUACCGCAUACGACCUACGGAUGAAAGCGGGGGAGCGCAAGACCUCGCGCGAUUGGAGCGGCCGAUAUCAGAUUAGCUAGUUGGUGGGGUAAAAGCCCACCAAGGCGACGAUCUGUAGCUGGUCUGAGAGGACGACCAGCCACACUGGAACUGAGACACGGUCCAGACUCCUACGGGAGGCAGCAGUGGGGAAUUUUGGACAAUGGGCGCAAGCCUGAUCCAGCAAUGCCGCGUGCAGGAUGAAGGCCUUCGGGUUGUAAACUGCUUUUGUACGGAACGAAACGGCGAGCUCUAAUACAGUUUGCUAAUGACGGUACCGUAAGGAUAAGCACCGGCUAACUACGUGCCAGCCGCCGCUGUAA
rnacentral:rRNA from 1 species